AUGUCGAUUCCCGAGUCCAGAAGAGCUGUUGCAACACAAGAUCGUCUUCCUAAGAGGAAAUUUCCUGGAGAUUCCUUCCUCCGAAAGCCUUGGCUUUCAGAGCACUUCCCCGGUCCCAGGUGUGGGGACAAGACUGUGAACGUGACAGAAGGAGCCCCAGCCCUCCGGAGCUUGAACAGAGGGAGACAGACAGUGGACAGGGACCGGCCCGCCGUGACACCGCAGGGCAUCCUGACAUCUGCGCGUGCAAAGUUGCCACAGCCUGAGGACACGUUCCCAUCCCUCCAUGCCAGAGCAGUGUUCUGUCCCCUCUCUGGAAUCCACAUGGGGUUUCUGAUCAUUUCAGGAUUGUGUGACGGCGACAGAAAGCUUCUGCUAUGGGAGACACCAGAAUAUGGAAAACCCUCAGGAAGUGUCACCUCCUCGCACCACCCGCUUGCAAUGGAAAAGUACCCAGACCAGCACCACAGCCUGCACCUGCUUCCGGAAAGAGGUUCGUGAGGAGUUCACGAACAAGGCCAGCUCCGUGUCAGAGAUCCUGGGGUGGGCACAGAAGGGGUCAGGAGGACGGGGAGAAUGACGGAACUUACCACACGAAAUCAGAAGAAAGAAAGUACUGUGCAUUUCAUUUUGAUAUCAAAUGGCACCUGUGGUCAUACAGGAAUUUUCAGCCGUUAUAGUGUCGUAGAUGCUGAACCUAAGGACUAUUUCACACGGGAGACUGGGGUAUUUCAUGGCUGCCAGGGAAGUGACAGAGUUGAUUGACAGCCUUGCAGAUCAGAAAUAUGAAAUGAUUUUUGGGAUGCUAAUAUCCCUAAGGUUUGCACAAUAAAUUCUUUUAGAGAAAAAAAUGAAUUACAACAAAACUUCUGCUUCUGGGAAAACGGUGUGCUUUCUAUAUUCCUCUGACCAAAUGCAGUUAGAAACUGGAUAGGGAGCAGAAACCAAGGACACAGAGCAGCAAAGAAGUCAGACAGGUGAGGAGCCUUGGGAACAGGGAAGGAAGCAGUACAGAGUUCUGGUUUCCUCUCCACCUCACAUAUGCCAGGCUUCAUGCCAAAAUAGCCAGAAACCCAGAGACACCGUAGGUGCAGACAAGAUGUCCUAACAAUGGACUUUUCUGGAGAAUCAGGAAGGAACAGCCCCACAAGGCAUAAAACUUUAAACGAUAACCAUCCUACACCAGCAAAGCAUCAUAUUAACAAAAAAACCUGUGGCCCGUCAGACCUACAGUAGUCAAGGACAAUAGGAAACGAGUUUGACACUUCCAAGGCUGCUGUGAGAUACCCCGAAUUCCCCGCCUGCAGGGCCAGAGAAAGCUGGGUAGGGGGACUGAAUUUUCAAAGCCACCAGCUCAUAACUAGUUCCCCAGGCCAGAAUCAGUGGAGACCACAUGAGGAUCCUCAACUUUCAUUCCCAAGUGGCAAUAAUGAGGUACAUUUCCUGGCUCUGCUGGGGUGUAGAAGGAGGACUUCAUCCCUGCCCACUGCUAAUGAAAUCAUCCCACCCACAGUGCCAGUGGAGGUCAUGUGAGCAGCCACAUGUCCAUCCACCCUGCAGUAAUGAGGACCCCUUCACUGCUUGGUAGCAAGGGAGGUCAGUAAGAACGUGGAUAUCUAACUUCACCCCUGUCACUGCUAGAGGAGCGGGGAAGCCAGCUAGUUGGAGGAGUUAGUAGCUCUAUGGUGCGGUGGUUAAGCUUCAUUGUAUCACCUUGGUUGUCUUGAGAAUCACCUCCAAGAUCAGUAAACACAGUUAUGCGUGUGUCUGGCGGGUCAUGGUGGCAUAGCCUUGGGUGCUGUAUCAGGUCCCCUGCCCUUCCUUUCCGGUGCUGUUGGCCUGCUCUCCUUCCUGGCCACCACGAACUGAGUACCUCACCUGCACCACACCAUCUGCCAUGGAGUUCGGAGUCGGAUCACUGUGGACUGGAUCCCCCAAGUCUGUCAGAAAAAUUCAGUCUCUCCUUUAAAUUGUGGAUGUUGACUAUUGUGUCACAGUGAAGGGAAAGCUGACUAAAUACAGAAAAUUCCUACCAGAAGUGAAGUCAUUGCUGGGAUUGUGUGUGACCAUGUGAUCAGAAGCAUUGGAAACAACUUUGCAGAAAGAGUUUAUAAAUAAGGCUGGAGAAGCCUUAAAAUGAUGCCAGCAGAGCUUAAUGGGAAAUUUCGGUCAGAGAUCACAAGACCAGACUGGACAGAGGAAAGUGGACAGUAAAAGCCAGGGUCAGGAGGUUUUUGCUUGAAAAUGAAGAUUCUUUGGGGAGUUGUACUAGAGGCCAUCCAUGCAGGUUACACUCUGGCCAAAAGUGUAUCUGCAUUUUGCCCAUGUCCUAAGGCUUUACGGGAGGCUCAGUUCAAGGGCAGUGGUGUAACUGGUGUGAUGGAGAAAACCCAAGGCAUCACAACAUUCAGGCUGUGGCACAGGUGUUGAUGGAACAGACAAAUUUCUAGUGAGAAUCAGCAACAAAAAGCAAAGCAAAAAUAAUUAAAAACUUAAAUUUUGUCUCAGAAGGAACUAUGUGUAAAGUUGGAAACAAAGAGCACAUAUCUGCUGUAGGAAUUAGAACCUUGAAAAGGAAACCAAGUACUUUUUAUGGAGAUAAAAAGAAAGAAGCCUUGAAUGAAUCUCAAAAAUUUAUAAGAUACCACUCAUUGUAGACUCAAGGCAUAUGAAUGUAAGCAUUUCCUUUGAGAAGAGUCCCUGGGAUACCUGCCAGAAAACUUCCUCCUAGAAAAUUGGUUCCUUGGAUUUACCUCACCAUGCUCAGCCAUCCAGGCACUUAAGAGAUCACUGCAGCCGUGGUCCAAGGGGCUCUGGGUACUGCUCAAGCUCGCAGCAGACCUUGGUGAACUCUACAUUAUGCUACUUUUACUGGCAUGCAGAAUGCAAUCAUUGUGGGGCCAGGGAAGCUUCUACCCAGAUUUCAUAGCAAGCCUGUCAGGCUAGGCAAGGGAUCCCUGAGAAAGCAGUAUGUGUAGGAAUGGGAAUUAAGUGAACGGUGCAGUGGAGACCCCAGGAAGUUAGAGAUACUGGGAAUGAGGGAAGUCAGCUAAGGAAAGCCACAGGCUGUGAACAGUCCCAGACCAAGAGAGAGGCCACGUGGGCUGCAGCCAGCACAGUCAUAAGAUGGAGCCACCCAGGCACUCUGCAAUUCACCUUUCACCUUUGAUGUUUACUGAGCUGUGUUUCAGCAUUGCUUCAGUCUUAUUGUUUUCUACCCUCUCCUUCUUCCCCUUUGGAAUGGGAAUGUUUAACCUGUGCCAUUGUACCUAGGGGUUAUACAACCUGUGUUUUAUUCAUAUAGAGUUUCAUAGUUAAGAGUUUGCCUUGAGUCUUGGAGGAAACUUUGACUUACAAAUUUGAGAAAUACUGGAACUGUGGAGACUCCAGGGAAGGUAUUGAGUUCUUGAUUGUGUAGAGGAUAGUUACAUGUGAGAUGAACUUAUUAAUUUGUUUUUAUACUUAUUUAAAGAACAAGUGUGGUGUAAGGAGAUGUGUUUGGGUGUCAGUUUGACAGAGUUGAAUGUGGUGGUUAAGCUUCAUUAUGUCAAGCUGAUUUGGCCAUUGAAAGCCAUUAUGGUUUGCAUCUAGAUGUGCCCCUAAGAGCUCUGUGUGCUCAUAGGUGGGGCUUCUGGAAAGUGAGUGUAUUCUGGGUACUGAUCCCUGAUUUGCAAUUAGGAGAUGAGGCUUGGGUGAAGAGGAAGUUCACUAGGGACAUGGCCUGGGAGGGUUCAUCUCCCUUCCUAGCUCAUCCCCAAACACUCUCCUUCCCUCCACCAUGCCACCCUGCCUUGGAGCCAGCCAGCUAUGAACUGAAACCUCUACAAACUGUGAGGCAAAAUAAACCUCUUUUUCUUUAAGUUGUGAGUGUCAGGUAUUUUUUGCUAGCAACAAGGAAAAUACUAAGACAAGAGCCACCAGGGGGAUUAGAAAAGCACACGUCCAGGUGUGUCGGAGGGGAGAUCAUGGAGUGUGACCUUGGAGAUGUAUCUGGUCCCUGGCCCUUUUUCCUCUGGCACUGUUCCCAUGCUCUGACUUCCAGACCCCAUGAACUAAGUGGCUUUGUUCCAUCACGCCCUUCCACCAUGAUGGUCCUGUCUUGGGGCCAGCUGACCAUGAGCUGAAUCCCCUGAAACUGUUAGCCAAAGUAAACCCUUCCUCCUUAAGUUACUGAGGUCAGUGUCCAAGGAGUGAGAAAGCUGACUAGGAUAUGAAGAUGUUUUACAAAGCAGGAAUACCUCAAAUGGGUGUACUGAAAUGACAUGCUGGCUUAUUUGAAAAGAUUACAAAGCAGCCAUGAUAAAAGUGCAUCAAAGAGAGAUAUAGAUACACUUUAAACAAAAGAAGAAAAUGGGAAUUCCUAUCAGAGAAAUAGAAGAUAUAAAAAACCAAGUAGAAAUUUGAGAACUAAGGCUACAUAAGACAGCUUGAUUUUAGUCUAGGUGUAUGUAAAGGAAAUGUAUUAUUAUUUUCUGCACUUGUCUUGAACUGGUGAACUAUUGUCAUUAGUUUACUGUAAUAAAUUUCAUGCAGAUAAUGUAAAACUAGAUAAUGUAAAAGAAGCUCUACAAAGAAAUGCACUGAAAGCCUUAUAAAUACAACACAGUUUAAUUUGAAAAAACUAUUCAGAUAACCUACAGAGAAGCAGGAAAACCAAAAAGAACAAUAAAAACAGAAAACAAAUAGAAAACAAAAACAAAGGAUACACUUAAUUCCUAAGACAUCAAUAAAUACACUAAAUGUAAAAGGUUCAAAUAUAUCAAUUGAAAGACACAGACUGGUAGGUUUAAA
ensembl:lincRNA